GCACGAGUGACCCGAGCGGCGAAGGGCGUCGACUUUUAAUCGACUAGGCGUCCGCGCCUCACCGAGGGUUCGAGUCCCUCCUCGUGCU
rnacentral:tRNA from 1 species